rnacentral:rRNA from 2 species
UAUGGCUCAGGAUGAACGCUGGCGGCGUGCCUAAUACAUGCAAGUCGAGCGAACUGAUUAGAAGCUUGCUUCUAUGACGUUAGCGGCGGACGGGUGAGUAACACGUGGGCAACCUGCCUGUAAGACUGGGAUAACUUCGGGAAACCGAAGCUAAUACCGGAUAGGAUCUUCUCCUUCAUGGGAGAUGAUUGAAAGAUGGUUUCGGCUAUCACUUACAGAUGGGCCCGCGGUGCAUUAGCUAGUUGGUGAGGUAACGGCUCACCAAGGCAACGAUGCAUAGCCGACCUGAGAGGGUGAUCGGCCACACUGGGACUGAGACACGGCCCAGACUCCUACGGGAGGCAGCAGUAGGGAAUCUUCCGCAAUGGACGAAAGUCUGACGGAGCAACGCCGCGUGAGUGAUGAAGGCUUUCGGGUCGUAAAACUCUGUUGUUAGGGAAGAACAAGUACAAGAGUAACUGCUUGUACCUUGACGGUACCUAACCAGAAAGCCACGGCUAACUACGUGCCAGCAGCCGCGGUAAUACGUAGGUGGCAAGCGUUAUCCGGAAUUAUUGGGCGUAAAGCGCGCGCAGGCGGUUUCUUAAGUCUGAUGUGAAAGCCCACGGCUCAACCGUGGAGGGUCAUUGGAAACUGGGGAACUUGAGUGCAGAAGAGAAAAGCGGAAUUCCACGUGUAGCGGUGAAAUGCGUAGAGAUGUGGAGGAACACCAGUGGCGAAGGCGGCUUUUUGGUCUGUAACUGACGCUGAGGCGCGAAAGCGUGGGGAGCAAACAGCGAUUAGAUACCCUGGUAGUCCACGCCGUAAACGAUGAGUGCUAAGUGUUAGAGGGUUUCCGCCCUUUAGUGCUGCAGCUAACGCAUUAAGCACUCCGCCUGGGGAGUACGGUCGCAAGACUGAAACUCAAAGGAAUUGACGGGGGCCCGCACAAGCGGUGGAGCAUGUGGUUUAAUUCGAAGCAACGCGAAGAACCUUACCAGGUCUUGACAUCCUCUGACAACUCUAGAGAUAGAGCGUUCCCCUUCGGGGGACAGAGUGACAGGUGGUGCAUGGUUGUCGUCAGCUCGUGUCGUGAGAUGUUGGGUUAAGUCCCGCAACGAGCGCAACCCUUGAUCUUAGUUGCCAGCAUUUAGUUGGGCACUCUAAGGUGACUGCCGGUGACAAACCGGAGGAAGGUGGGGAUGACGUCAAAUCAUCAUGCCCCUUAUGACCUGGGCUACACACGUGCUACAAUGGAUGGUACAAAGGGCUGCAAGACCGC